GGCAAAAUGAUCCGGCCUCUCUUAAAGGUUGCUGAUGCGGCUCUGGCCAGGAUGCAGGCCAGGUGGGUGAACAGGCAGGCCUGGAGCCAAGAAUAUUCAGGGAUGCUUAUGGAGGUGACAUAGGCUGACGUCUGGAUGCCAUCCAGCCCAGCACCUGGGAAGAUGAGAAUAAGAGUGGAGAAUCCACAGCUGAUGACAGCAAGGGUGUGGACUUGUUGCAAGGAAGGCCAGGCUGUCCACGCGACUCAGCAGCUGCACAACGUGACCAACAGCCGAUGAGAAGAAACCCUGGACGUCCCCCUCUAGAACAACCAGUGGACGUUUCCCACAUUUGUUGUACUUAUUAUUUAAUAUUAUUAUUAUUAUUGGCAGUAGUGGUAGCAGCAGUAGUCUUUAUAAAAACCUUUGAGAGUAAACUGCAGACUUCAUGAUGCUUUACCUCUUAAAUUCGUAUGUCUCCUAAUAGCAAAGACAUUCUUUCCCACAGUAAAGUGACCAAAUCUGGGAAAUUUAACAAUGAUACAAUAUUAUUACGUAAUUCACAGUCUAUAUUCAAAUUUGCCAAUUGUCCCAAUGAUGUUCUUUAUAACAUUUUUUUUUCCAAUUCAGGAUCACAUAUAAUUGUCAUGUGCUUUUUUGCCUUAUACAAGAAAUAUUUGUCUAUUCCAGUGUCAC
rnacentral:lncRNA from 1 species